rnacentral:tRNA from 1 species
UCUCUGGGGGUCUGGUGGUUAAGGAUCCUGCGCUGUCACUGCUGUGGCUCAGGUUCAAUCCCUGGCCUGGGAA